GUUGUAUGGUUAAGUGACUAAGCGUACACGGUGGAUGCCUUGGCAGUCAGAGGCGAUGAAAGACGUAGUAACUUGCGAUAAGCCCAGAUUAGGUAGUAACAACCAUUUGAGUCUGGGAUUUCUGAAUGGGGAAACCCACUUACAUAAGUAAGUAUCAUUAACUGAAUACAUAGGUUAAUGAGGCGAACCGGGGGAACUGAAACAUCUAAGUACCCCGAGGAAAAGAAAUCAACCGAGAUUCCGAAAGUAGCGGCGAGCGAAAUUGGACUAGCCCUUAAGCUUUACACGCGUUAGACGAACGGUCUGGAAAGUCCGACGAUACAGGGUGAUAGUCCCGUAGUUGACGACGUGUGUUCAGUGAAAUCGAGUAGGGCGGGACACGUGAUAUCCUGUCUGAAUAUGGGGGGACCAUCCUCCAAGGCUAAAUACUACUGACUGACCGAUAGUGAACCAGUACCGUGAGGGAAAGGCGAAAAGAACCCCUGUGAGGGGAGUGAAAUAGAACCUGAAACCGUGUACGUACAAGCAGUAGGAGCAGGCUUUGUCCUGUGACUGCGUACCUUUUGUAUAAUGGGUCAGCGACUUAUAUUCAGUGGCAAGGUUAACCAUCUAGGGGAGCCGUAGGGAAACCGAGUCUUAACUGGGCGUUCAGUCUCUGGAUAUAGACCCGAAACCAGGUGAUCUAGCCAUGGGCAGGUUGAAGGUUGAGUAACAUCAACUGGAGGACCGAACCGACUAAUGUUGAAAAAUUAGCGGAUGACUUGUGGCUAGGGGUGAAAGGCCAAUCAAACCUGGAGAUAGCUGGUUCUCCCCGAAAGCUAUUUAGGUAGCGCCUCGGACGAAUACUACUGGGGGUAGAGCACUGUUAAGGCUAGGGGGUCAUCCCGACUUACCAACCCUUUGCAAACUCCGAAUACCAGUAAGUACUAUCCGGGAGACACACGGCGGGUGCUAACGUCCGUCGUGGAGAGGGAAACAACCCAGACCGCCAGCUAAGGUCCCAAAUUACUACUAAGUGGGAAACGAUGUGGGAAGGCUCAGACAGCCAGGAUGUUGGCUUAGAAGCAGCCAUCAUUUAAAGAAAGCGUAAUAGCUCACUGGUCGAGUCGGCCUGCGCGGAAGAUGUAACGGGGCUAAGUAGUAAACCGAAGCUGCGGCAAUGUGCUUUUGCACAUUGGGUAGGGGAGCGUUCUGUAAGCGGUUGAAGGUGUGUGGUAACGCAUGCUGGACGUAUCAGAAGUGCGAAUGCUGACAUGAGUAACGAUAAAGGGGGUGAAAAACCUCCUCGCCGGAAGACCAAGGGUUCCUGUCCAACGUUAAUCGGGGCAGGGUAAGUCGACCCCUAAGGCGAGGCCGAAAGGCGUAGUCGAUGGGAAACGGGUUAAUAUUCCCGUACUUCUUACAAUUGCGAUGGGGGG
rnacentral:rRNA from 1 species